ACAUGGGUACCCGCCAUCCGCCCGAGGCCACAAGAAUAGUCUAGAACCUGACGUCGCUCUUCUUCCCACCACGCCGCUCUUCUUCCCACCGCGUUCAGGCUCCGCCCGACGCCCGACACCAACGAAGCCCUCCACAAAAAACGGCACGCAACUGUCUCCAUCUCCAUCGGUGCCACCGUCCGUCCUCCGCGUGUCUGACGACCCGAGCUUGGUGUUUGACAAAAUGUCCAUGUCGUCUAUCAUGGUCGUGUCAUGCCCAGCGUUCGGAGAUCGUGCUCACCUACUGCAGCUAAUCGUAUAAAGCGACUUUAGCUUUCGUCUGGGAACAAUUUGUUUUUUAGUUCUCAAUGUCAAAUGGUAGGAUGUUGGCGGGCUAGAGGAUGUGAAAAGGAUUCUUCUAGAUACUAUUCUGGUAAAUUGGACUUGGUUUAGCAGUAAAUAUCAGCAACACCAAUACGACGCUCAAUUAUAGCUCCCUUUGACGUAUAAUCGCAUGAUUUCUUCUAAAUUGCGCAAGCGAUUAGGUGUCUGGGUAUAUGGACCUCCGGGAACAGGGAAGGUAGGUUUGAAAAAGUUUCACACGAAUUAAAUUAUAUUUUUUUGUUUAGUUACCAUAACAAGUGCAUUCUGUCUCAUAGGAGACAUCCGAUAACAAGUGCAUCCUAAAGACAUGGAAUCGCUAAAAUGAAUGUCCGUUGGACUUCUAGGUUUUACUUGCGAAAGCCUGAAUACUCACUGAACUUUCGUAGCGUCAAAGGUCCAGAACUGAUAAACAUGUAUGUUGCAGAAACAGAAAAGAAUGUUUAGGAUAUUUUGAAAAGGUAUGGAAUUUACAUAGCCAAGUAACUGCCCGAAACAUCAAUAAUUUUUCCCAGUUUUUACACUUUCAACCUUAGGCUGGAGUCCAAGGAGAUUUUUUCCAAUGCGUUUUUGGCACAAAAGUCCAAGUGAAAUUACUUUGCUAAGAAUAGCAAAAUCAUUGAAUAUGUUUACUUGGAAAUAGUCAUUUGCCGAGAACAGUUACCAGGGCGAGAAGCACGCCACGCGCGCAUGGGCGCGCGACAGGUACUAGUUUAUAUAAGGUUUUGUAUUCUUAGGUUUGUCUCUCCUUUGUUCUAGAGAAUUGAUUUAAAUUUCACCAUUUACGCACUCUAUAAUAAAUUAUUAUGCAUUUUUUAAGGCAAAUACAUCACCUCAAUAUUUGCUCUAGUUUCACCAUUGUCGGCUACUACAUUGUCGCACUAGAUCUCACAUCAGAUACCUCGAGAUCAAGAAUUGCUAAUGCCUGGUUUUAAUGGGAUGAACACGUCCGGUGGAUGCACCGAAGUGUUCAAAGAGUACGCAAGUUUUUUUGCCUUACUUCCAACGUUAGAUUAGACAUAGAGACUACAAAUAUCAGUUCAACCAACUAUUCAAGAAGUGUGGGAACUAAGAAACAUAAAUAGUAUGUUAAGACUUAAGACCCCAUUCAUACAACUCUAGAUACUAGGUGCUCAAAGAUCACUCGAUGAUUAGUGAAUAUACUUUUAUAAAGUGUUUAGGAUAGUAAACUGAUGUAUUAGUGCUUUCUAUAGACUAUGCAUAGUGAUUCAGAGUAUGAUUAGACACCCUCAAACCCAGGGGCGAAGCCAGCCUCCAGAAUUGUUGGUGUCGAUUUAUUUCUAACUCGUGUCAUCAAUACUGUAACCAAUGUUUAAACAGUAUUCUACACUGAUUUUUCAAAAAUCGUUGGAAUCUCAAGCUCUAGCUCCACCCUUGCGCAAAACGUUCACGUUUGUGUGUGUCAUUGUAACUAUGUCGCGCCUUACCCUACCUUGCCUAGGUCACGUCAAGACCUUGUAUAGACCUCUUGCAAAGACAAAUAGAGACGAUUCAAUCUCAUAGGAUUAUUUAACUGUCUUAAUAUUACAUCAAUAUAGUAUUAUUCUAAUAUUACGUUACUAGGACAAUGAAACCUAUAUGUCACAUGUUUUGGAUUGACACAUGUCAUGUAUGAGAUUUAUCGGUCCGAAAUUAUUCUUUGUUGGACAACCUCCGAGUGACCAACCAUAUUCGAGUGUCUAUGUGGAGGGAUGGAGGCAGGGGCGAAGCCAGGAUUUAAGUUUAGGAGGGACAAAUAAGAUUAGGAGGGGUUGCUAGAAGGUAUUUUACACUAUUUACAUGAUGGUCGGCUAAGAAAAUUAAUAGCUCCUAACCUCCUGUAGAAUUAGGGGAGUAUUAUGGGGACAUUGCCUAUGUGCCCUCCCUGUAUUCGCCACUGGCUGGAGGCCAGUCCAAAAUUAUCCCUUUUCGAAUAGCCUCCAAGGUACAACAUGGUAUUUAUGACGAACCUAUAAGGUUCAAACAAAAUUUCAACGCUUACCUACACUAUUCUUCAUUGUAUCAUAUUCAGAUGUGCAGGUGUAGAACAACAGAGUUAUGUUGUCAAAUUUUCAUUUGAACUCUAUAGAUUCAUUAAGUGCUCAUCAAUAAUUUGUAGAAGGCACUGAAGGUGCAAAACAAGCAACUUCAAUGCUGGUGUCAACACCCGAAGAAUAGCAUACCUUCGAUUGUACACGUUUAAGGAUCCUCGCCAAAGGAGUUAGACGUAGGCUUAUGAUGGAAUGGUCACCACACUUGAGACUUUAUGGCUAGAAGGCCACUGACCACGAGAAGCGAAAGAUUUCAGCACUAAUCUCCGACAAACUUCCUAUCACAUCUUCUAUUUUUGAAAGGGAAUUAGGCUUACACCUUUUUUCUAAUUGAUUUUGGUGGUUGAAUUGUCCAACACAGAUGAUUGGACUAACUAGUUUGCUCUAGAUUAUAUGUUCUAUAUGUGCCAAAGGUUCAUCUACAACUAUACUAAAUCGACUAUCUGGAAUACCGUAGAUUAUUCCAAACAGGAUAAGCUUUCUAGAAAAUCAGGCCAAGCGCGGACCGUCCGGGCCCUUGCGGCGGACCGUCCGCGACACCACUUUGACUUCGACCAGGAACUAUAAAUCAUGGAUAGUCCGACUAAACCGCGGACCGUCCAGCUACAACGCGCGGACCGUCCGGCUAUAAUUCACGGACAGUCCGCAGGUGAAGACCUGGUUCAGCCCGAAGGUGACAAGUUGAGCAAAAGGAAUUAUAUAGCUGGCGCGGACCGUCCGGAACCAAGGGCGGACCGUCCGCGUGGUGUCACCGAGGCAGAUAGCCGUUGAUCUGUCAGAAGUAUCCGUUGAAGAUGUCAGAAUCGACCGUUGGAGGGUCACGGACCGUCCGGGCCCUAGCCGCGGACCGUCCGCCAGUGCAAUUUCGGGCAGAUGCGCCCCAACGACUAUAUGGGUGGUUGAGGGCUAUAAAUACCACCCCCACCGGCCACUUCAAUGUGUGGGAGCCCAAGCAACAUUCCAAGUCACAUAGUUGACAUACUCAAGCCCUCCCAACCACAUAUAUUCAUUGAUACAUCCUAUACACAAGAUCUAGACCACUACAACCGACACAAGUGCCACAAAAGAGAGAGCAGGAAAUUGAGAGCUACUCAAUUGAGUUUAGCCCUAGUGCCUUGUGAGAUUCAUUGAGAGAUAGUGUGUGCUACAUCUUUGUGUUCAUUUGUGCGUGGAGUUUUGACUCCCAUUGAACUUCCUCCAAAGUUUUGGAGGCUUGUAAAAGCUAUCAAGAGACACCAAAGAGUGUGGUGGUCCUUGCGGGAUCGAGAGUGAUCCUUGAGAAGAAGAAGAGCUCGCCGAUCCUUGAGUGAUCGGUGGAGAGAGGGAAAGGGUUGAAAAAGACCCGUCCUUUAGUGGACUCCUCAACGGGGACUAGGCCUUCGAGGGCCGAACCUCGGUAAAACAAAUCACCCGUGUCUCGUGUGCUUAUUGCUUGUGAUUUGUUUGUGCUUUCUCUUUCUAAGUUUGUCGUGCACUACUCUUUGCUAAUUCUAUUUGGUGUUGCUUUAAGUUAAACUCUCAUUUGGUGAAGCAACACAUUGCAAGAGAGAACUUGUGUUAUUGCUCUUCUUGCCUAAGCCUUCUUGCUUUAAAUCUCAUAGACUUAUUAGUAGUAUUGAUUUAUCAAUUCCACAUUAUUUGAAAGCAAUACUCUUUACAAGCAAGGACUUAGUUUUUAUACUCCUAUAAUUAUAUAUAUCUUGUUCUAACCACUAAUCAAGGGAUCUAGUUGGGGGAAAAAGUUUUUAAUUUCAGGUUUCGCCUAUCCACCCCCCCUCUAGGCGACUUUCAAUUGGUAUCAGAGCUAGGCACUUCAUCUUGAGUCUAACAACUCGAAGUGAUGGCUCGUAGAAGAUCCCAAAAGAACAAGAAGACUCCUCCAUCGAACGUAACUCAAAAGGAGGUAACUCUUGAAAUAUUAUUUGAUGAUUGUUCUAAUUAUGACUCAUGGUCUACUAGUGUGAUAAAUGCUUUUAGAACCAUAGAUCCACGAUUAGAACAAAUUAUAGACAAGAGUAUUUUUUCCUCUAAUUUCAAUGAAAAAAUUAAUUCCAAGGAGGAUCAAAGAUGUUAUCGCUUAAACUAUCUAGCUUUUGACAUCUUAACUAAUUCUCUUAGCAAUGAAGAUUAUCGUGCCUUCAUAUCAAAAUAUGAUGAACCUAUUCAUGAUGCACAUGAUAUUUGGACUAGAAUUAAAAGCAAAUUU